rnacentral:rRNA from 1 species
GAUGAACGCUAGCUACAGGCUUAACACAUGCAAGUCGCGGGGCAGCAUGGGGGUUGCUUGCAACUCCCGAUGGCGACCGGCGCACGGGUGAGUAACGCGUAUCCAACCUGCCCUUCACCACGGGAUAACCCGGCGAAAGUCGGACUAAUACCGUAUGUUGUCCAUUGACGGCAUCCGAUUUGGACGAAAGGCUUUGCGGCGAAGGAUGGGGAUGCGUCCGAUUAGCCAGACGGCGGGGUAACGGCCCACCGUGGCUACGAUCGGUAGGGGUUCUGAGAGGAAGGUCCCCCACACUGGAACUGAGACACGGUCCAGACUCCUACGGGAGGCAGCAGUGAGGAAUAUUGGUCAAUGGGCGUAAGCCUGAACCAGCCAAGUAGCGUGCAGGAUGACGGCCCUAUGGGUUGUAAACUGCUUUUAUGCGGGGAUAAAGUGGCCCACGUGUGGGCUUUUGCAGGUACCGCAUGAAUAAGGACCGGCUAAUUCCGUG